AAGUUACAAGCCUCCAGGCAGCAGGCAUCGGGUGUCGGGCUCUCACUGGACACAUGCAGAUGCAGACGCAUACACCAGGGACCGCCCCUUCCUGCCUGAGCCUCUGUGACUCCCGAGGGUAGUCGUCUCAGCCAAGUGCUAGGCACGGGAAGGUUGGUGAUGACUGGAGGGCCACCUGAGCCACACUCAGGGUUGAGGCCAAGGUGCCGGUGGGGCCCUCUCUGCCCUCCGGUCCUUCCGAGAGACUCACCACUUCAAGCAAUGCUCAGAUACCCAGGGGCCAGCCUUCCCGUCAGCUUCCUGAGGAGGUGGCCCAGCUUGGCCUCAGACGACCUCCAUCCUGGAGAGACU